CUGGGAUCUGUAUGCUAGGGGAGAAGAUCCAGCCAGCUCUUUCUCCUGGAACACUCUCUCUCAUCUAGCUAGUAUAAUGGGUAUCCAGGUGGACACAGGACAGACACCCACCUGCUCUUUUCCUCUGGUUCUGGUAAAUAGCCCCUCAAUAACCUUGCAGGCAGCAAUAAUUUAUCUGGGGCAAGACUCAAGUAUUCCUGGGUUCUUAGCUAACAUAGCAUCUUAUUACCAUGCGAUUAUUACCUCUUCAUUACCAGUCACCUUCCUCUGGAAAGCAUAAUUCUGUGAGAAAAUAUCCCUGCAUAAUAGUGACCCCCUACACACACAUACACACAUACACACACACACACACACACACACAUACUCUGAGGCUACCUGAGAUGCUGCAAUGAAUACUCAGCCCCUAGACACAGGAGGACAGGAGUGUCUGUGAGCAACAGACAAAAGAUUUAUGUGAAAUGGAUUUCUAAGAAGCCAUAGAAAGGGAAGACAUCUGUCUGUCUAGCAGUUAUUAAAAGG
rnacentral:lncRNA from 1 species